AUAAUUAUUUCCACAUUUGAGUGGCACAGACAAGAAGGAAGUAGGCAGGGAGAGAUGCUGUUUCCAGAAACAAAGGAUAGAAGAGCUCAUUCCUCCCUCCUCCCCUCUCCCAUAAGCAGUCCCUGCAUUUGGAGGUGGAGAAGCAAUGUCUAAGGAGAUGAUGGCUGUUGAAAUUCAGUGAAGACUGUUCAUAAACAGGAAAUCUUAGAGUGAGAGGACAUAAUUUUCUCCUUCCAAUAUCUCCUUCUGGCUGACUAAGAUAAAAUGGAUAAAUGGCAACGUGCACCAUUUCUUGAGAAGAGAAGCUGUUUCUUUCUCUUCUAUACACCGGCAUCGCCUGACCCACAGUAGGAUGGCAAAUACACGGAUAAAGUACUCCACACCAGGCUCCAGCUCCUGGAUGAUGGUGGACGUCUGGUCCCCAGGCACACGGAACUGCAUUUCCAGACCACCCUCGUGGGUGGGCGUGUACACGACAAGAACCUGAAAAGGAAACUGGAUUAUUGUGUCCAAUGCUUCCAUCGCACAGAUCAGAAAGUGGGGUGCUGAGAGGAA
ensembl:lncRNA DELEC1 deleted in esophageal cancer 1